rnacentral:rRNA from 1 species
GAUGAACGCUGGCGGCGUGCCUAAUACAUGCAAGUCGAGCGAACAGACGAGGAGCUUGCUCCUCUGACGUUAGCGGCGGACGGGUGAGUAACACGUGGAUAACCUACCUAUAAGACUGGGAUAACUUCGGGAAACCGGAGCUAAUACCGGAUAAUAUAUUGAACCGCAUGGUUCAAUAGUGAAAGACGGUUUUGCUGUCACUUAUAGAUGGAUCCGCGCCGCAUUAGCUAGUUGGUAAGGUAACGGCUUACCAAGGCAACGAUGCGUAGCCGACCUGAGAGGGUGAUAGGCCACCCUGGAACUGAAACACGGUCCAGACUCCUACGGGAGGCAGCAGUAGGGAAUCUUCCGCAAUGGGCGAAAGCCUGACGGAGCAACGCCGCGUGAGUGAUGAAGGUCUUCGGAUCGUAAAACUCUGUUAUUAGGGAAGAACAAAUGUGUAAGUAACUAUGCACGUCUUGACGGUACCUAAUAAGAAAGCCACGGCUAACUACGUG